AGCGAACGCUGGCGGCAGGCCUAACACAUGCAAGUCGAACGAACUCUUCGGAGUUAGUGGCGGACGGGUGAGUAACACGGGGGAACGUGCCCUUUGGUUCGGAAUAACUCAGGGAAACUUGUGCUAAUAACGAUUGGGCCCUUCGGGGGUAAGAUUUAGCGCCUGGGGAACGGCCCGCGUCUGAUUAGCUAGUUGGGGAGGUACCGGCUCACCAAGGCUACGAUGGGGAGCUGGUCUGAGAGGAUGACCGGCCACACUGGGACUGAGAUACGGCCCAGACUCCUACGGGAGGAAGCAGUGGGGAAUAGUGCACAAUGGGCGGAAGGCUGAUGCAGCAACGCCGCGUGCGGGAUGACGGCCGUCGGGUUGUAAACCGCUUGCGCCUGUGACGAAGCGUGAGUGACGGUAAUGGGUAAAGAAGCACCGGCUAACUACGUG
rnacentral:rRNA from 1 species